UUUGGUAAGAGGGAUGGUGCUCCCCUCCUAACCGCUGACUCAAUCAGCUGAUGGCGCCUGUUAUAAG
rnacentral:ncRNA from 2 species